rnacentral:rRNA from 1 species
AGCGAACGCUGGCGGCGUGCCUAACACAUGCAAGUCGAACGUGAAAGGGAGCAAUCCCAAGUAAAGUGGCGUACGGGUGAGUAACAUGUAGGUAAUCUACCCCAGAAUCUGGAAUAACCGGCCGAAAGGCUGGCUAAUACUGGAUAGAGCGACGGAAUCCGUAAUUGGGUUUUUCGGGAAAGGGAGCCUGUAAAAAGGCCUUCGUUCUGGGAUGAGCCUGCGUCCCAUCAGCUAGUUGGUGAGGUAAAAGCUUACCAAGGCAAUGACGGGUAGCUGGUCUGAUAGGACGAUCAGCCACACUGGGACUGACACACGGUCCAGACUCCUGCGGGAGGCAGCAGUGGGGAAUCUUGCGCAAUGGACGAAAGUCUGACGCAGCAACGCCGCGUGAGUGAAGAAGGCCUUCGGGUUGUAAAGCUCUGUCGAGUGGGACGAAAAUGCUUGGAGUUCACAGCUCCAGGAACUGACGGUACCACUAAAGGAAGCACCGGCUAACUCCGUG